CCUAUCUGAUGUUUUGUGUGUUGUUGCUUUUUAUUAUCAGCAUGAAGUCUAUUAUUGCCUGGGGGGGUAAGCCAGAGAAGAAACCAGCAUGGCACGCCUUUUGUGAAGCUUCACGCUUCCAGCCUAUUCUCUGAUCAUCUUCUCUCCAAUCUUAUCUCCAGCUGAUGAAACUUUGAAUGUAGUUUUCCCUUUUUUUCUGUCUUUUAAAAACAAAUUGGGCUACUGCUUUGUUGGUGAGGAUAAGUAGAUGUCUUCUAGCUUGCCAAAUAAGAAAGAGUGAUCCUCAUAUCUGUAGCAAGCACAAGUGAUAGUUUUAGUAGAGUUGCUGUUAAAUAUCACUGUCUGGAUUUAAAUGUUUGGACAAAGAUUAGCUGCCAGUACAAAAUAAAUAGCAUGAAUGUUUAAUCAAGAUCUAUCAUUCCUCCUGGUCAGAUCCUGCCUUUUUUUUAAAAAAAAAAAAACAGUAUAAUGGAGACACAAUGCCUUCUGAGAAGUCUUAUGACUCUGUUAAUAACUGGAUAGUUUUAAGCAAAACCCAAUUCAUACCUUGGUGCACAAACAGGAGUGAAAGAAAAGAGAGUAUAAUCUAUGGAUAGGUAGGUAGAUGCGUACUUUACAGUCCCUUUAAAAAUUAUGUCUUUAAAGCUGGGGUCACAACUUUCAAAAAUACAUUUAGUCACUAGAGGGAGACAUGAUCUCGUAUAACCUAGAGCAUGUCUACCACCACAAAGAGAUCAGUGAUAAAAAAUCCCAUUGCAGUGAGGCAGAUGUCAACCAUGCUGAGUGUUACUGCCCAAGUGAAAGGAUGCUGAUUUGUUAAGCAUCUGUGGGCCGUGGGGAUUAGAGAGAGUGAAAGAAGCCUUCAUGGACCUGCCUGAUCCUUCAGGAUAGCAUCAGCAAUGCCUUUCUGUAAAACACAUCUGAUCUGGGUUCCAGUGAGACCACCUUCAACUGAAGUAAGCAGAAAAGGCUUUAACCACAUCUUCAGCCAAUGCUGGUCUGUGCCACGUGGCUUGUCUUUCUCAAGAAACCUGCUGGGUGAGACACCAUUUCUCGCCCCACAGCAGCAUGGCUGGGUGGAGAAGUGGAAGGUCAAUGCAGAAAGCCCUGUCUCUCCUCAGGAGCUUUUCUACUGUCAGAAGUGGACUGGCAUACGUUAUCGGCUCCUGCCGCAUGCUGCCCAAUAACUGUCUAUUCCCCCACUGCUGCCUUUGGACUGAGCAAAGAUGCUGCUCAGGGGAAGCCAGUGAGGGAAGGAGGUGCAGAGAAUGUUCCUGGACCAUUUGUUGGCAUGGGUGGGAGAAGACCUGUUUUUCUUUUGGUGCAAGGCCCUGUAGGGGUCAAUCCGUGCAACCGUUUGGCUAGAGAGAGCGGUAUGCGAGGCUGGAUUGACAGGGUCUCACCCCACUGAUUUACUUUAAAAUGAAAGCUUAGGUGCAAACAUUAGAGGCAGAUUUUGUGCCCACUGGAAAGUGCUUUGAUCAAAGCACCAAGCCCAGUGAGAAGUCUGUGCAAGUGUUAUUAUUCAUCCAAAAAACAAACAGAGCAAGCCAAAGGCCCUGUCCACACUGGGAUCAGGAUUGGGCUAGCACCAACCAUGUUGCUGCUGAUAAAACCACAGGGAAACAUCUCUACAUCUGGAGCUUCUGUUCAGUGUUAAUCCAUACUGAGAUGCUGUUUAAUAAUGUAUUUAACUAGAGUACUGCAAAUGUGUGGCAAAUGAAAUUUUUUACCAUUACAUUAAUAAUAGGUGUUAUUUAUCCUUUAUUGCCCAGAAACAUUUUAGGGACCGCUGUUAAUAUUUCCUCAAAAUAAAUGUUUAUGGAAUCAUUAACUCUGGUUUUAUUUGCCAUAUUUCUCACAAAGCUUCUGAGUCAUGCCUUCAAGUCUGCUAGGAUUUGUGAUCCUAUUUUCUCUUUGCUUUGUACAUUUUGUCUGUCUGUGUAAUUUGAAGAGAGAAUUGUAGAGUGUAAGAUGGAGGCAAGUAUUCUUUAUUUUAAUUAAAAUGCUAACAUAAGAAAUUAUCUUAUUGAGUGAUUGUGUUGUAACACAGCCACUUGCUCUGCCAUACAGUAGUUAAGUGUGAUUUGAUGCUUCCUCUAGAAUGCUUCCUAUUCUCCAGGGCUUAUACUGUAGCCAAAAAAAAUCCCUUUAAGCUGAAACUUGGCAUGUAAAAUCUCAGCUAAACUUCAGUGUUGCUUGAAACUUAAAACACAAAACUUUGCUUUCCCAUGUUCAAGUUGUUUUGGGACACUACACCUGGUGGUUCCUUGUAUCAUUUCUUUGUGGAGGGAUUGAACAACUCAGUGUCUUUCUAAUAUUUAAAAUGAAAUGUUGCUGGCAUUAAUUCGUAAUGGGAAUUCAUUACUGCUGACUGCAGAAAAAAACUGUAUCAUAGGCCAGAUGAGUUCUGGACAGACAUACAUAUAUCACUGCACAUGAAGCAAAAAUUAAUUCUUUUUUUUUUGGCAGGAUUUGCCUGUGUUGCCUUUAUUAAAUGGAGGUCUCUUACCACUUGUGGAGGGGCCAUGACACAGGUUCCGUGGAUGACCCUGGUUGGAGACAGGGGUGUCUGCUAGCUGGACAUUUGAUCUGAUCCAGGCAUGAGCUGUUGUCUCUUCUCAACAGCACAAUGAACAGAGGGGAUUGGAGAGUCUUGUUAUAGUGCCAAUGCUGUGAGUCUAGACUCUGCUGUAGACCUUAACGAAUAUUUAAUCUUUGGUUAUUUAUAUGUAAAUGGUUUCUGAAGCAAGCCACUGACUACAGAAAGCUGGUCAUAAUAAUCUGACUGGCGGGGUAGAUUUUUAAUCUUUUGAUGAACAAUGUACACAUGCACAUGGAAGAAGAGAGUCAAGCCUACUGUAACCUCAGGACACAUAAAGAUUGUGUCUAGCACAUCUUUCUCAUCUAGGACCAACAAGUACCUGUACAGCAAGGUUACAAAUCUGGACAGUAUGUAUCUACCUAAUCUUUUUUCCAGUAAAUUGUGUACCUGAUUGAAUUCAAGACGUUUUUGCAGCAUGCUUUUCCAAGAUCUUUACAAUAAACUUAGUAGUUUCACAUGACUGGGAAGUGCUUUCUAACAUUUUUUUUCUUCUGGUUUUAUUUAUAGUCACCCUUUGAAAUAUCUUUGCACAUAAAUGAAAGAGAGUGUUUAUUUGACAAAAAUGUCUAUGUCUAUGAGAUGCCUAUGGAAAAGGUUCCUUUUGUCAGAAAUAAGGAAAACAAAUUAGUUCUUUUAGUACAGGAGAAAAGGAGCACUCAAAGUUUUUGCAGUUGGAGAAGUACUGGCUGGCACUUGGGAACAGGGAAAUAAACUCUCAGGUAGAAGAUUUUGUAGUCAUUUAAGCCAGCCAAGCAUCAAAAGGAAAUUCAGAAGAACAUGAUAGGACGUAACACAAUGGCAGAGGAAACUGAAAGUUUGUAAAUGCAAGUGAUUUAUCUUGGGAUAAUGAAGGGAGAAUUUAAAAUAGCCCAUCUAUUUUUGAGGUUUCAAGUUAACUUCAGUACUGAUACCACUCCACACAGGUCAGUCAGAACUAGUCAGUCUGUAAUAGUAGCACAAAAAUAGACAAAAGGUUAGCACCUGUAAACGUUGGACUAUAAAACUAUGUCAAUCAGUUACAGUUACAGAACAGUGUGAACCUGAUAACGUCACUGUAUGUGUCAGUGGUGUGUCGUCACCUGCAACAUAGGAUAAGAGAAGGGCCAAUAUAGAACAUGCAGAGCUAUUUUUCUCUUUUUUUAUUAUUUUUUUUUUAUUUUCCCCAGGCAACUCUAGUGUUACAUUUGUAAGAGUCCAGUGCUUGUAUAUCAGUACAGCUUAGGAAACCUGCUUUUGGCAACGGAGACUCAUGCAGAUCUUUCUGGUCUACCAUUUCCAUCCCUGUGGGUGUACAAAGUUGUAUAAAUCCAGAAGAAAAUCCUGAAUUACUGUUUUCUACCUUUCCAUGUGUCACUCAUUCCUUUUCUCUAUUUUGAGACACCAAAUCUCCAGUGACUGGAAGGAAGUCCAUUUCUAUGCUAUGUCAUUGAUCCUAUGAGACGUGGAGUGUUUUCCUGCUCUCUCCAGCAAAGCAUCUACUUACCUGCUUGGCUUUGAGCACAUCAGUGACUUGGGAGUUCUUGCAGGAGCUCACAUGCGUGUUAAUCCUGAGCAGAAGCUGGGCAACAAGAAACUCAUAGGACCUUGUGCUGGUGUGGGAACAGUCUGUCAGAGGACAACGGGGUAAACAGAAGAAGAAUGGCUGCUAAAAAAUAAAGCAAUGGGACCUGACUCUGCUUUCAGAGAUUAUGGGAAUCACUGGCCUGAAAGAGAUGAAGUGAUAUUUAUACAGAAGUUGUUUAAAAGGAAUGAAACCCCAGCUCACAGCCUUUACGGGGUGUGGCAAUAACGUUGUUACAGGGGUUGGGGGUAUAUGAGUCCUAGCGCUGCAUGACAGGACAGAUACUCACCGCCACUGUAAGUCUGAGCGUGAGAGGAAGGAGCCGUCCAGACCAUCACAGCUUCCUCUCCAUUCUUCCUCGUUUGUCUUUCUGCCUGCUUUAUGAUGCCCCACAUUUUAUUCAUCACCUUGGAUUGUUUUCCUCUAAUUGUACAUUCGCUAGAAAAGCAAAAAGCCUCUCUAAAACUGCUGGACUGAAAAUGAAAUAUAGGAUGGCUGCAGGCUAUGUUUUUCUUUGCUGGGAAGCACUGCCAUGAUAAUUGUUUCUACAAAAAGAAACUACUACUCUGGAAAAAAAAAAGAGGAAAAAAAAGACAAACAAAAACCAAAAACCCAAGCACCCUCUGUUUGCUUGAACCUACCAUAAACUAUUGCUAGUAAUUAUAGAAGCCGACUGCACAACAGCUUAAUUUGACUUAAUUGGCAAUUUUUUAAAGCUGCAACACAAUAACAAUAGAAAACGAACUCAGUGCACAGGUUCUGGAGAUGUUAAAUUUCACUUUACAAAAAAGCUGUAAACCUUUAUGCAACGUGUUGGCUUGUAAUUCACUUUAGUUGGUUAUGUAUUUUUUUAUUUUAUUUUUUUCUUCUGUUGUGAUAUGAAAGUGUAGAAAUAUGCAGGAGUGUCUGAAAGAAGACUAAGCUUUGCUUUUUGCCCUCAGUGCUGGGUUCCAGUCUGAGAGAAAUAUUUCACAGUGAAAGAUUAUCAAGAAGGAGGGAGAUCAUCUGCUAGCCUUAUUACUUUGUUAAUGGCCACAGAGUUGGGGUUUCCUGUAUUUAUUUUAAAUUGACUAGUAAUUCUAAAUGGCAAAUUCUUUUGUUCUCCCUAAACAUUUAAGAAAAUGGUGGUCUACUACAGAGACAAAUCCUUUUUGAGCUACAAAUUUACCCACUGUGGGUUUAACUUUAAAUAGAUUAGUAGUCCCCUUUAAGUCAAUUGAGCUUCAGUGGGUAUUACAGAAAAUUAAGCCAUCUGUACACACUACCAGUGAGAUGAUUUAAUUACACAAUGUUCUGAUAUGGUAAGAGAACAAUUUAUAUUAAGUCAAUGUUUAUUUAUUUGGAUGUGAGCUGAAGAUUCUAUGUUAUAGUAUACAGAUAUUAUACAAGUUGAUGUGAUAACAGAAUGAAUUGAUUUAUACUGUAAGUACCUAAGGGAUGCAAAUCUAUGUACACAGUUAAAAGAUCAAGUAAAGAUCUGCAAAAUUUAAGCGUUCAGACUUUACAUCCACCAUCCCAUUUUACACAUCUCCUGUCCCAUAUGAAGCACCUAGUCCCAGCUCUUUGGAGAGUGGCCCUGGCCAUGGGAGUCCCUCAGAGCUCACCUAGUCCCUUCUCUGGGGAAGGUGCUGUAGGUGGAGAGGACUUGGGAAGGACCUAGGUGGGAACUAGGGGGAAUGGGAGGGGGUUGCUGCUCAGGCACUGGCAGGGCAUUGGUUUGUUGAUGAUGAGCAAUAGUUUUCAUUUGCAUCACUUGUAUUUCUUGGGUUUUAUUUCUCUUUCAUUGUUAUUUUCCUUUUCAUUACAAUUUAUUACCAUUAUUAUUUUUAUUAUUAUAAUAUUUCAAUUAUUAAACUGUUCUUAUCUCAACCCACAAAUUUUCUCACUUUUACCCUUACAAUUCUCUUGCCCCCAACCUGCUGCUGGUGGGGAGUGAGCGAGUGGCUGCGUGGUGCUUAGCUGCCAGCUGGGGUUAAACCACAACAGUCCUUUCUGGAGCCCAACAUGGGGCACAAAGGGUGCGAGAUAAUAACAGAUUGACCAGAGUGUAUUAGGAGGGAUUUAUAUCUGUUAACAGUUGCAGGUCAUGAUGUUGAUUUAUCUGCUUCUCAAUAUUAGUUUAUCUGAUCUGGGCCAUGCUUUUCUUUUUGCUGUACAUGUUAAAGACUGAGGUUGGCUUUUGGAAUUUGCUGUGCUCUGCAGUGAUUAGUGAUGUUUUGCCUGGGAGAUUUGUUAUUAAAACACUGACUUUGACCUUAA